rnacentral:rRNA from 1 species
UUAAAUUGAAGAGUUUGAUCAUGGCUCAGAUUGAACGCUGGCGGCAGGCCUAACACAUGCAAGUCGAACGGUAACAGGAAGCAGCUUGCUGCUUCGCUGACGAGUGGCGGACGGGUGAGUAAUGUCUGGGAAACUGCCUGAUGGAGGGGGAUAACUACUGGAAACGGUGGCUAAUACCGCAUAACGUCGCAAGACCAAAGAGGGGGACCUU